UACGUAGGUGGCAAGCGUUGUCCGGAUUUACUGGGCGUAAAGAGCGCGCAGGCGGUCGUUCAAGUCGCGUGUGAAAGCCCCCGGCUCAACUGGGGAGGGUCACGCGAUACUGAUCGACUCGAAGGCAGGAGAGGGAAGUGGAAUUCCCGGUGUAGUGGUGAAAUGCGUAGAGAUGUGGAGGAACACCAGUGGCGAAGGCGGCUUUCUGGUCUGUAACUGACGCUGAGGCGCGAAAGCGUGGGGAGCAAACAGG
rnacentral:rRNA from 1 species